AACGAACGCUGGCGGCAGGCUUAACACAUGCAAGUCGAACGCAUGCCUUCGGGCAUGAGUGGCAGACGGGUGAGUAACGCGUGGGAACCUACCCCUUGGUACGGGAUAGCUCCGGGAAACUGGAAAUAAUACCGUAUGUGUCCUGAGGGACAAAGAUUCAUCGCCAAGGGAUGGGCCCGCGUCGGAUUAGCUAGUUGGUGGGGUAACGGCCUACCAAGGCGACGAUCCGUAGCUGGUCUAAGAGGAUGAUCAGCCACAUUGGGACUGAGACACGGCCCAAACUCCUACGGGAGGCAGCAGUGGGGAAUAUUGGACAAUGGGCGCAAGCCUGAUCCAGCCAUGCCGCGUGAGUGAUGAAGGCCCUAGGGUUGUAAAGCUCUUUCACCGGUGACGAUAAUGACGGUAACCGGAGAAGAAGCCCCGGCUAACUUCGUG
rnacentral:rRNA from 1 species